rnacentral:rRNA from 1 species
AUACGUAGGGGGCUAGCAUUAUCCGGAUUUACUGGGCGUAAAGGGUGCGUAGGUGGUCUCUUAAGUCAGGAGUGAAAGGCCACGGCUUAACCGUAGUAAGCUCUUUGAAACUGGGAGACUUGAGUGCAGGAGAGGAAAGUGGAAUUCCUAGUGUAGCGGUGAAAUGCGUAGAUAUUAGGAGGAACACCAGUAGCGAAGGCGGCUUUCUGGACUGUAACUGACACUGAGGCACGAAAGCGUGGGGAGC